rnacentral:rRNA from 1 species
UACAGAGGGUGCGAGCGUUGUCCGGAAUCACUAGGCGUAAAGGGCGCGUAGGUGGUGGCUUAAGCGUGCGGUGAAAGCUCGGAGCUCAACUCCGAGUCGGCCGUGCGAACUGGGCUCACUGGAGCAUAGUAGAGGCAGGUGGAAUUCCGGGUGUAGCGGUGGAAUGCGUAGAGAUCCGGAAGAACACCGGUGGCGAAGGCGGCCUGCUGGGCUAUGGCUGACACUGAGGCGCGACAGCGUGGGGAGCAAACAGG